UACAGAGGUCUCAAGCGUUAUUCGGAUUCAUUGGGCGUAAAGGGUGCGUAGGCGGCGCGGUAAGUCGGGUGUGAAAUCUCGGAGCUUAACUCCGAAACUGCAUUCGAUACUGCCGUGCUUGAGGCCGGGAGAGGCGAGUGGAAUUCCCAGUGUAGCGGUGAAAUGCGUAGAUAUUGGGAGGAACACCAGUGGCGAAGGCGGCUCGCUGGACCGGUUCUGACGCUGAGGCGCGAAAGCGUGGGGAGCAAACGGG
rnacentral:rRNA from 1 species